ACAAAGAACUUCCUUUCUCCCCAGGGAAGGGGGGCCCACCCCAAGAAGCCAAGCAUCAGGAAAAGUGCAGGAUCUCAGACUGGCAGAUGUGGGGGAGGGACACGUGUAGAUGAUGGGGGAGACUGUUCCACAGACAGCCCUGGAGGCUGAAAUAACGACAAAAGAGAAGCCACACCAGCAAUACUUCCUGUGAGUGAAGUACUUCUGGGGUUAGAAAGUGCUUCCCCCCCAUUCAUUAUUCAUUCUCUCUCCUGCUAGGGUUCUGAACCUGGACUGGGUAGGGGGACCAUAACGUAUGAGGCUGCUUUCCUGGCCACAGGCCCAUUCGGUGACUCCUGGAGAAGCCCCAAAUCUGACAUCCUGGAGUGUGUGUUUGUGUGCACCUGUUACAACACUUCUGUGUGUGCCCCUUGUGAACACACUCUGCGUUCUCUGAGUGCCUGCUCCUUGGAACACCACAGAUGUCCUGUGCACUCCCAGAUGCACGUGCUGCUGGGAGCGUAUGUGCACACACGCCUCUGGGGGCAGGUAGGUCCAAGAGUUUAUGAAACUGAAAGAGAAGUUCUGCUGGAUGACCAGAGACCAGCUGAUGCUAUGAUUUCCAGAGGCCUGGGGUGUAGCCAGAUCUCCAGGGAAAAGGGGAACGACAGUGACAAAGGCCGUGAGGAAUGCAGAGUAGGUGGAGACGCAAUUCUCACACUCUUGCCCCCAGUCCUUCUCUCACAGUAUGGCUCCAAACCCAAAGACCCCGCUGUGUAGCCCCAGCUCUGGCUUGGCCCCGAAGGGACCUAGGGCCCCUCCUACCUGCAAACACUGCGGAGCAGUAGGCAUCGCUGAUGUCCGUGUCUGGGGUGUGGACGUUCUCGGCAUAAAGGAUGAAGACCCUCAGCAUGACUGGCGCGAGUCAGGGCCCUGCGCGCCCAAGGCCGUGGAGAGGGCUGGGUAAGGUCGCGGCUGGCGGAGUUGCAGCUCUUGGGUCCCCUCACGAGAGAGGGCUGGCAGAGGGAGGCGGGUUCAGAUCACUGGCUCCCUUCUCAGAUCUGCUACUCUUCAAGGAGAACUGACCAACCCUGGGCGGCUCCAGGGGGCUACCUUCGGUCUCCGCCCCGCUGCGCUUACCAGGCUGGUCAGCGCGCCCUCGGAGAACAGGGGCUUCUGCUCAUCUUCCACCUUCGCCACCCUACCCAGGCUCGGCUGAGCUGUAAUUCAAUGCUCGGGCCGCAGACUCUCCCAAUGACAAGGCAUUUUGCACCUGGCGGUGGAACAGCGAACUGGGCGGCGGCCGUGAUGGCCCGGGGCUAGACCAGAGCUCCGGGUGCCCCUUACAGUCCAGAUUCCUCUCCAGAACUGCAGUGAGGCUCAGCCCCGCCCCUGACCUUCCACCUCCGGCCUCGAGCGGAGCCAGCUCCUCGCCUCCUCCCGCUGUGGGAUUCCAGCACAAUCCCGCGGUGCCCGCGGGACCGCCCUGGGGAGGAAGCAACAUCCCGGGGACAAGCUGAGGAGCAGGCGCUCGGCAGGCGCCUUCCCCAAAGAGAAGCGCGGCCUAAGGAAUUUCAUUGACAAGAAGGGCCGGCCGCCUUUAAAAUUUCGCCCCCUCUUUUAUGAUUGUAAAAGCAACAGCUGUUACUUUUGAAACAAAAAGCCCAUAAGAAAGAAAUGUCUGAGUCUAGGAAAAAAUAGAAUUUGCAUUUGGAUAUUUAUCAA